rnacentral:lncRNA from 1 species
AAACAAGGGCUAGAUAAUGUUUUCUUAUUGCAUAAUUGCUGACAUAUCUAUAAGUAAAAAUGAUAUUUUAUAAUUCACCUCUCUUUUACACAAUACAGUAAACAGUCACAUUCCUCUCACUUAGAUUAGUCUAACCACAUCGUUCGAGCACACGAUCACCCCAUUCAAGGCACAAUCUCUCCAAAAUAUUCUUUGUUGUAACCCUAGAUUUCUCUACGUUACCCAAUUAUAUCUUCAUCAUCAUACAUAUCUAUCUCAAAACACAACAUUUUGGGUGGCUGUGAGGUGACUGGGUAAAGGAUUUGGUGUUUCGAGGAUGGUGGUAGAAAGGUGGACAGAAGACAAUGGGCGAUGAUUUUUUGCGUGGGCGGGUGGGUUUGAAAUUAUACUAGUUGGGUCGACGGCUAAUAUAGUUUCCUCUUCGGGUUGAGGUGGAGAGACUAAAGUACCAAUUGUUGGAAGAGGAUUGCCUACGGGAUAGCUGUUCAAGUCUGAAACACGCAAAAUGUGGAAUGGGGAAAGGACUUAGAAGUUUGGAUUCAUUUCAUCAUACCAAAUGCCACCUUGAACUAUGGGAAUACCCAAGCAGGUCAUUAUAUGAUUGCAGUAUAUUCCUUUUUUUUGGCAUGUUUUUGUUGUAACAUAAAUAAUUAAAGUUUUAAAAUUUCAAAUCAAUACCUUUUUAAUUUUCAGUUUUUAUUUUUAAUUUUUAGAAUAAAUACAAAAUUAAAACCAUUAACGUGGGUUUGAUUUUUCACUAAAAGUGAUGAAAAUUUCAUUGUUUGAUGCAACAUAGAAAUGCUUGAAUAUAUUCUCUAUAUAUGUUUAUAUUUUAUUAUUUUGGCAACUUGAUAAAUAGUACUUUUCUCUCUGUGAUCGUGACCAUAGAAG